AUUGGUCAGUACACACGAGGUGGGUCAAAGGUUACUCUGGGCGGGUUACGUGUUGUCAGGCAUUCAAGUAUUGAGUAUAUUUACUGCAUAUUACAGUAAAAUAUUCUGUAUGUGACCACAUUAUGGUGAUCCUUGGGUCGUGAUGAUGGAGCCCUUGAAUAUUGUUGCCCAGGGUACAACAAAGUGUUAAUCUGGCCCUGGUUCCGCCGUCACAUUCCCGCAGAAACUGGUUGAUCACACCGGGGCCAGACUACUAGCAUGUGGUUUUACAACCACAAUGUCCUCAGAAGCAAAAACGCUUUUAAAAGGGAGGGAGGAGUCCUAACUGUUGCUGCAGGCAUGUUGUGUGAGAGUGCAGUUAUAUACUGGUUAAUAUAUUUUUGGGUUCAGUUGCUUUCAUGUGGCCUAAUGUGAGUCUAUUUGGGAUCAUUGGAAUGAUCAGCAGCAUUUCUUGAUGUGACUUUAUGGCAGUUGCCCAGGGCAUCAUCGCAAGGAGGAUGGCAUUCAUUUACUUUUGUUUUAUUUGGUAUUUUUUCAGUCAUUUUUGGAAAUGGUGAUCAAUUUUGAUUAAUUCACAGCCUAUGUUUAAUUACAGUUAAAAUAAAUGUCAACAGAUGAGAUCAAACAAAACAGAUGAGAAUUGCCCUUAAGCUGUUUAACUUGGACCAAGCAUUUUAGGUCACAGAUAGAUGUAGCUUAGGGUCUCUGUCUGUACACCUUAUAAGACAAUUUAGGUGAUGGCAUGUUGUUUUUCUGCUAUUGAACUGUUUUCUAAUAAUGUUGUGUUAAAUAAAGUGAAGGAAGGAGAGAAAUAACGUUUCCCUAGCAGUUUUUAAAAAUUUCCCCAUGUAAUCCGAUUAAUCGAUUAAUCGUGUCGAGACCCCAUCCGAUUCAUCGAUUAUCCAAAUAAUCGUUUGUUGCAGCCCUACUAUCAAGUCUGACAACUGGAAGGAAUUGGACUGACUCUGAUGGAAUGGGCGGGGCUGACUCUGGUGCAGCUCCGCCUUUAUGGUUCGGCAGCGAGCACCACUUGCUCUAGUCUGCAAAUAGUCUCCUAUAGUUACUUAUUUAAGGUGAACUAUGUCGUUUGACAGUAAAACAAUCACAAAACCGUCCCAUGUGUCCAUCACAUUGCAGACAAGAACAAGAUCUCCUUUUAGCUGGCUGGAGGAAUGCCAGGUAUCCUGUUUUCAAAAAUGGCCGGGUCGUGACGGCCUUUCUGUUAACAGCGCCCACAUAUUCUUCCUGGUCACAGAGCCAAUCAUAUUUGAGCCUGGCGUGUUACGUCCUGGUUGCCUAAUCUCUCAACACCACCGCUGUUUCCUUUCGUUAUUGGCCUCCACUCUCCACCAGCAGCUAUCUCCAGCCACAAGGAGCCUUUUUCCUCCGGGUUAGUUGAGAACUGAAGCCAGCACACAAAGCGGUACAGAAGGAUUCUAUUGUAAUAGAAGCCUCCAUCCUGCCCAAUGACUGAAGAACAACAGGAGAACUAAAACAAAGCUAAACUAUGGAAACUAUGUUUGGACCAGAUCAACUUCAGGAGGCAUGCAGAGUUCUCCUAGACAGAAUGUCUGCUGACAUGUGAAGAGUGUUCAAAUACUCAGUAUUUAUAACCUCUAAGCGCCCCGGUAUCAGCCCCGCUGUCAGCGGCCUUCGCGGCCCGCCGCCCCGGGACUGAGGCUCCGCUGUGCGGCUCGGCGCCGCUCAACACCACAGCUUUUCCUGUCCUGUUGUGGAUGUUUCCUCCAAAUGAAGGUGAAGAGCUUUGGAGCCUUUAAGAUGACCUGAUGACCUCAGGAGGAGGUCAGCAUCACCAGUACGACUUCAGCACACCAGUUCACAAGAGGUGCUCACAAUCAUUCAAGACACAAUAAAGACUCCACCCAUCCUCCUCUGAUUGGUGGAUAGUCAUGCUGGGGAAGCAAUCGUCCAUCCACAGACCACACCUCCUUCGUCGGGGGUGCUACUGCCAGCUUCUAUGAGGGAAUCUCGCAGUCUCCAGGCCAACAUGGAGAUUUAGUUCCUCAUUUGGCUCCUUACAGUAGAAAUGAGCUAACUAUGGACUUCUCUUUUUUCAUACUUUUUUUGUACACAGUUGCAUUUUCAAUUACAGCAUGUUUUAUUUUUGUAGUGAUUCUCCAAGUGAAACCAUUCCUUUUAUAUUCAAUGUAUGAUAACCAUGUUCUGAUGUGGAAAAAAAAAUAAAAAUAGAGGUUUAUGCAGUU